GGCCUUGACAUACUAAGAACUUUCCAGAGAUGGAUUGGUGCCUUCGGGAACUUAGAUACAGGUGCUGCAUGGCUGUCGUCAGCUCGUGUCGUGAGAUGUUGGGUUAAGUCCCGCAACGAGCGCAACCCUUUUCCUAUUUGCCAGCGGGUCAUGCCGGGAACUUUAAGGAUACUGCCAGUGACAAACUGGAGGAAGGCGGGGACGACGUCAAGUCAUCAUGGCCCUUACGGCCAGGGCUACACACGUGCUACAAUGGUCGGUACAAAGGGUUGCUACCUCGCGAGAGGAUGCUAAUCUCAAAAAGCCGAUCGUAGUCCGGAUCGCAGUCUGCAACUCGACUGCGUGAAGUCGGAAUCGCUAGUAAUCGCGGAUCAGAAUGCCGCGGUGAAUACGUUCCCGGGCCUUGUACACACCGCCCGUCACACCAUGGGAGUUUGGUGCACCAGAAGUAGGUAGUCUAACCGCAAGGAGGACGCUUACCACGGUGUGGCCGAUGACUGGGGUGAAGUCGUAACAAGGUAGGCGUAGAUGA
rnacentral:rRNA from 1 species